rnacentral:rRNA from 1 species
AUUGAACGCUGGCGGCAGGCCUAACACAUGCAAGUCGAGCGGAGCGGCGGACGGGUGAGUAAUGCCUAUGAAUCUGCCUGGCAGUGGGGGAUAACGUCCGGAAACGGGCGCUAACACCGCAUCCUAUCAGCUGAGCCGAGGUCGGAUUAGCGAGUUGGUGGGGUAAAGGCCUACCAAGGCGACGAUCCGUAACUGGUCUGAGAGGAUGAUCAGUCACACUGGAACUGAGACACGGUCCAUACGCCUACGGGAGGCAGCAGUGGGGAAUAGUGGACAAUGGGCGAAAGCCUGAUGCAGCCAUGCCGCGUGUGUGAAGAAGGUCUUCGGAUUGUAAAGUACUUUAAGUUGGGAGGCGUUACCAACAGAAUAAGCACCGGCUAACUCCGUGCCAGCCGCCGCGGUAAUAC